rnacentral:rRNA from 1 species
GCGACAGGCCUAACACAUGCAAGUCAGGGGCAGCACAAGGAGCAAUCUGAGGUGGCGACCGGCGCACGGGUGAGUAACACGUAUGCAACCUGCCUGUAAGCGGGGAAUAACCCGUUGAAAGACGGACUAAUACCGCAUAAUACUAAAUUACUGCAUGGUAAUUUAUUUAAACAUUUAUGGCUUACAGAUGGGCAUGCGCAUGAUUAGCUAGUUGGAGAGGUAACGGCUCCCCAAGGCAACGAUCAUUAGGGGUUCUGAGAGGAAGGUCCCCCACACUGGUACUGAGACACGGACCAGACUCCUACGGGAGGCAGCAGUGAGGAAUAUUGGUCAAUGGACGAGAGUCUGAACCAGCCAAGUCGCGUGCAGGAAGAAUGUCCUUAAUGGAUUGUAAACUGCUUUUGCAGGGGGAAUAAAGUGCAUCACGUGUGAUGUUUUGUAUGUACUCUGCGAAUAAGGAUCGGCUAACUCCGUGCCAGCAGCUGC